rnacentral:tRNA from 1 species
GCACGGGUGGCCGAGCGGUUUAAGGCGUAUGGUUUAGGCCCAUAUCUCUUCGGAGGCGCAAGUUCGAAUCUUGUCUCGUGUA